UUCGUACCUGCAUCGGGCCUCCGCCUGUGCCGCGUCGCUGCGCUGUUAUCCGUCCCUCGCAUCCUUCCCGCUUCCAUAGCCCCCGAACCCUAGCCGGUUGCGCCUCCGCAAAAGAGGAAUCGGUGGUGGUGGAGAGGAUUGGUCGAACCCCGGAAGUCCAAGACCUGCGACUGAUUUUGCGGCGCAUCAGCACCAGGCGAUGGUGGGUAUCCUGUACGUGCCGGUGGAUCUACAUAAUGUGUCGGCGCAGGGCUGACACUGCAGCCAGGUGACGUCGCUACCGCCGCCGAGCACCAUGUAGAGCUGCCGCGCGAGCCGGCCCACUCCGACACGCGAGAAGUACUCACCGCUCCCUGCCCGACGGCGGACACCACGGCCCCUGUGUCUCUGUUGCCAACGCCUCGAAGACCGGCGUGGUCUUGGCCGGCUUCAGAUCGGCGGCCCGGGGAUUCGCUGUGUAGGCGGGCGAGCACGUGGGACCUGUAUCUCUGGUGCCGGCCCUGCUCCUCCGGGAGGAAGUCCCUGGAGUCGAGCCGCAGGGUGAGCCCGCUCUGGUGAAGGAGUGGGUCGAGGAGAACGACCUGGUGAAGGAGUUAAUCGCUGGUGAACGACGUGCUUAAUCUUGAACAUCAGAUUGCUUUCAACUUGAUCAACCUCUGCCCUUUUAUUCGUGGAAGAAGCAGCCCGUGAGGACGACCUGUUCUCCUUUUCAAUCUGGUGCGUAAGUCUGAAGUUUCUCUUUCUCAUGCCAUGUUCCCAUGAAUAGCUCCCUAGAACUGACAGAAUCCUGAUCACAAGACUGCUUCAACUUGAUCAAGCUUUCCCUUUUAUAAGAAGAAGAAUCAGCCGGGGUUGUAUUUUGUCUACUGAGAUGGAAGAAGAGGCUAACACAUCGUACCAUCGUACCAUGCCAACAUGAGAUGGGUGUGCAGGUCGUCGAUGUGGGGUUGCUGCGCGCGUAUGCCGAGGUGUUCAUCACGGGCGACGACUCGAGGGGGCCGACGAACAGGACGCCCUUGGACCGGCAUGGCGGGGAGGCCAUGUAGCACGUGUUGCUCUGAUUGCCCUGUAUCCUGGACGCCGCCGACCACAAGGGCUCCAGCUGCACGUGUUUCCCGGCCGCCUCCAACCAGAGGGGGCUCUUGCGACGUGUUGCUUUGUAUCCCGGCCACUGCGGACAGUGAGGGCUCCCUUUGCACGUGUUGCUUUGUAUCCCGGCCACCGUUGACCACUCGGGCUCCGGCUUCACGUGUUGCUCUGCGUCCACCGCUUCUUUGGCGAGCUAAUGGCGACGACGAGGACGCGCCUUGAGCUCCUUGAGCUCGUUCUACCGCGAUGAAGAACUUUUUUUUUUGAGAGGUAGAAUGGGAAUUCUAGGGGAACGAGGAGAUUAUUGAAAUUAGGAGGUCAUCAUGGUUGCAAAUACCUUCGUUGCUCUGGACCUUGUCAUGGAAGGAUUAACACUAAAUGACCAUAAAUGAACUACACUGGCUAGGACCUUCAGAUUAUGAGGGCGAGGAUGUCUUAUUGAUGCAACUUGAUGGUUUGUUUCUGUGUGAACUAGCAAUCUUUUGUUUCUUAGAUGCGCAAACUUGUAUCUCAAAAGAAAAAAGACUAGCAAUGUUUUCAAACUUGUAUCCCAGAACUAUGAUGAAUUAUGUCAUUUGAUGAGCUUCUGUGGAAACUACUAA